rnacentral:rRNA from 1 species
ACGAACGCUGGCGGCGUGCUUAACACAUGCAAGUCGAACGAAGAGCGAUGGAAGCUUGCUUCUAUCAAUCUUAGUGGCGAACGGGUGAGUAACGCGUAAUCAACCUGCCCUUCAGAGGGGGACAACAGUUGGAAACGACUGCUAAUACCGCAUACGAUCUGACCUCGGCAUCGAGGAUAGAUGAAAGGUGGCCUCUACAUGUAAGCUAUCACUGAAGGAGGGGAUUGCGUCUGAUUAGCUAGUUGGAGGGGUAACGGCCCACCAAGGCGAUGAUCAGUAGCCGGUCUGAGAGGAUGAACGGCCACAUUGGGACUGAGACACGGCCCAGACUCCUACGGGAGGCAGCAGUGGGGAAUCUUCCGCAAUGGACGAAAGUCUGACGGAGCAACGCCGCGUGAGUGAUGACGGCCUUCGGGUUGUAAAGCUCUGUUAAUCGGGACGAAAGGCCUUUUUGCGAAUAGGGAGAAGGAUUGACGGUACCGGAAUAGAAAGCCACGGCUAACUACGUG